CAGGCCUAACACAUGCAAGUCGAACGGUGAAGCCCAGCUUGCUGGGUGGAUCAGUGGCGAACGGGUGAGUAACACGUGAGCAAUCUGCCCCUGACUCUGGGAUAAGCGCUGGAAACGGUGUCUAAUACUGGAUAUGAGCUGCGACCGCAUGGUCAGUAGUUGGAAAGAUUUUUCGGUCAGGGAUGAGCUCGCGGCCUAUCAGCUUGUUGGUGAGGUAAUGGCUCACCAAGGCGUCGACGGGUAGCCGGCCUGAGAGGGUGACCGGCCACACUGGGACUGAGACACGGCCCAGACUCCUACGGGAGGCAGCAGUGGGGAAUAUUGCACAAUGGGCGGAAGCCUGAUGCAGCAACGCCGCGUGAGGGAUGACGGCCUUCGGGUUGUAAACCUCUUUUAGCAGGGAAGAAGCGAAAGUGACGGUACCUGCAGAAAAAGCGCCGGCUAACUACGUGCCAGCAGCCGCGGUAAUACGUAGGGCGCAAGCGUUAUCCGGAAUUAUUGGGCGUAAAGAGCUCGUAGGCGGUUUGUCGCGUCUGCUGUGAAAUCCCGAGGCUCAACCUCGGGCCUGCAGUGGGUACGGGCAGACUAGAGUGCGGUAGGGGAGAUUGGAAUUCCUGGUGUAGCGGUGGAAUGCGCAGAUAUCAGGAGGAACACCGAUGGCGAAGGCAGAUCUCUGGGCCGUAACUGACGCUGAGGAGCGAAAGGGUGGGGAGCAAACAGGCUUAGAUACCCUGGUAGUCCACCCCGUAA
rnacentral:rRNA from 1 species